rnacentral:lncRNA from 1 species
AUUAAGAUUAUUCUGACAAUUCAUUAGUAAAGAUUGAUGAUUUUUUCAUAAAGAUCGAUAUUUUGCCCAAUCUCCUAGGAAUUGAAACUGAAAAUGGUUCAUUUGAAGAAUCUCAUAAAAUUUUGAUUGAAGAAAAUCCUUCAAAUGAAAUCAUUAAAAUGGUUCAUAAUCUUGAUUCUGAUACUGAAGUUAAUUUGAAUUCUAUGUCUUUACUAAAAUCCUCUG